GACGAACGCUGGCGGCGUGCCUAAUACAUGCAAGUCGAACGCUUCUUUCCUCCCGAGUGCUUGCACUCGAUUGGAAAGAGGAGUGGCGGACGGGUGAGUAACACGUGGGUAACCUACCCAUCAGAGGGGGAUAACACUUGGAAACAGGUGCUAAUACCGCAUAACAGUUUAUGCCGCAUGGCAUAAGAGUGAAAGGCGCUUUCGGGUGUCGCUGAUGGAUGGACCCGCGGUGCAUUAGCUAGUUGGUGAGGUAACGGCUCACCAAGGCCACGAGGCAUAGCCGACCGGGAAGGGUGAUCGGCCACACUGGGACUGAGACACGGCCCAGACUCCGACGGGAGGCAGCAGUAGGGAAUCUUCGGCAAUGGACGAAAGUCUGACUGAGCAACGCCGCGUGAGUGAAGAAGGUUUUCGGAUCGUAAAACUCUGUUGUUAGAGAAGAACAAGGACGUUAGUAACUGAACGUCCCCUGACGGUAUCUAACCAGAAAGCCACGGCUAACUACGUGCCAGCCGCCGCGGUAA
rnacentral:rRNA from 1 species